AUUGAACGCUGGCGGUAUGCUUAACACAUGCAAGUCGAACGGCAGCAUGGGCUAGCUUGCUAGACUGAUGGCGAGUGGCGGACGGGUGAGUAACGCGUAGGAAUAUGCCUUGAAGAGUGGGACAACUUGGGGAAACUCAAGCUAAUACCGCAUGUACUCGAGAGAGUAACGCUGGGGACCUUUAGGCCUGGCGCUUCAAGAUUAGCAUGCGUCCGAUUAGCUAGUUGGUAGGGUAAAGGCCUACCAAGGCGACGAUCGGUAGCUGGUCUGAGAGGAUGAUCAGCCACACUGGAACUGAGAGACGGUCCAGACUCCUACGGGAGGCAGCAGUGGGGAAUAUUGGACAAUGGGGGGAAGCCUGAUCCAGCAAUGCCGCGUGUGUGAAGAAGGCCUGAGGGUUGUAAAGCACUUUCAGUGGGGAGGAGGUUUGGAAGGUUAAGAGCUAUUCAAAUGGACGUUACCCACAGAAGAAGCACCGGCUAACUCCGUGCCAGCAGCCGCCGUAA
rnacentral:rRNA from 1 species